CCAACAGGGAUUGCCUUAGUAACGGCGAGUGAAGCGGCAAAAGCUCAAAUUUGAAAUCUGGCGUCUUCGGCGUCCGAGUUGUAAUUUGAAGAAGGCUACUUUGGAGCUGGAGUUUGUCUAAGUUCCUUGGAACAGGACGUCACAGAGGGUGAGAAUCCCGUGAGAUAAGCUUCCCAGUUCUAUGUAAAGUGCUUUCGAAGAGUCGAGUUGUUUGGGAAUGCAGCUCUAAGUGGGUGGUAAAUUCCAUCUAAAGCUAAAUAUUGGCGAGAGACCGAUAGCGAACAAGUACAGUGAUGGAAAGAUGAAAAGAACUUUGAAAAGAGAGUGAAAAAGUACGUGAAAUUGUUGAAAGGGAAGGGCUUGAGAUCAGACAUGGUAUUUUGUAAACCUUCUCUCUCGUGGAGGGGGCCCCUUGCAGUUUACUGGGCCAGCAUCAGUUUGGGCGGUAGGAUAAUGACUAAGGAAUGUGACUUGCCUUCGGGGAAGUGUUAUAGCCUUGGUUGAUACUGCCAGCCUAGACUGAGGACCGCGUCUUUGACAAGGAUGUUGGCAUAAUGAUCUUAAGCCACCCGUCUUGAAACACGGACCUCCUGUGUGAGGGGAAAUCCCUCUUCAAAA
rnacentral:rRNA from 1 species